rnacentral:rRNA from 1 species
CCUAACACAUGCAAGUCGAACGGUAACAGGAAGAAGCUUGCUUCUUUGCUGACGAGUGGCGGACGGGUGAGUAAUGUCUGGGAAACUGCCUGAUGGAGGGGGAUAACUACUGGAAACGGUAGCUAAUACCGCAUAACGUCGCAAGACCAAAGAGGGGGACCUUCGGGCCUCUUGCCAUCAGAUGUGCCCAGAUGGGAUUAGCUAGUAGGUGGGGUAACGGCUCACCUAGGCGACGAUCCCUAGCUGGUCUGAGAGGAUGACCAGCCACACUGGAACUGAGACACGGUCCAGACUCCUACGGGAGGCAGCAGUGGGGAAUAUUGCACAAUGGGCGCAAGCCUGAUGCAGCCAUGCCGCGUGUAUGAAGAAGGCCUUCGGGUUGUAAAGUA